AGAGUUUGAUCCUGGCUCAGGAUGAACGCUAGCGGGAGGCCUAACACAUGCAAGCCGAGCGGUAGAGAUCUUUCGGGAUCUUGAGAGCGGCGUACGGGUGCGGAACACGUGUGCAACCUGCCUUUAUCAGGGGGAUAGCCUUUCGAAAGGAAGAUUAAUACCCCAUAAUAUAUUAAGUGGCAUCAUUUGAUAUUGAAAACUCCGGUGGAUAGAGAUGGGCACGCGCAAGAUUAGAUAGUUGGUAGGGUAACGGCCUACCAAGUCAGUGAUCUUUAGGGGGCCUGAGAGGGUGAUCCCCCACACUGGUACUGAGACACGGACCAGACUCCUACGGGAGGCAGCAGUGAGGAAUAUUGGACAAUGGGUGAGAGCCUGAUCCAGCCAUCCCGCGUGAAGGACGACGGCCCUAUGGGUUGUAAACUUCUUUUGUAUAGGGAUAAACCUCUCCACGUGUGGAAAGCUGAAGGUACUAUACGAAUAAGCACCGGCUAACUCCGUGCCAGCAGCCGCGGUAAUACGGAGGGUGCAAGCGUUAUCCGGAUUUAUUGGGUUUAAAGGGUCCGUAGGCGGAUCUGUAAGUCAGUGGUGAAAUCUCAUAGCUUAACUAUGAAACUGCCAUUGAUACUGCAGGUCUUGAGUAAAGUAGAAGUGGCUGGAAUAAGUAGUGUAGCGGUGAAAUGCAUAGAUAUUACUUAGAACACCAAUUGCGAAGGCAGGUCACUAUGUUUUAAC
rnacentral:rRNA from 1 species